rnacentral:lncRNA from 1 species
UCGAUAAUCCUCGUAAACUGGGGGUCACAUCAUUUCAUGAUGAUAGUUGUUGUCUUGGUGCCUUCUCCGACGCUGGUGUUGGAACUGAAACGCACAAUGACAGCCUCUACACUUGCAAUGAACAGCUGACGCAGGAUCGUCAGCUACCGAGCAUGCUGGAUAAUUCCCCUAAACUGACCGUCGCAGUAUGUCAUAGUUGGCGUCUCGGUGCAUUCUCCGUAGUACUUAGUUAAAAUCGUUGUCGCAGAUCGUGAGCCAGACAAUGUAUGACUGGUUGUCACGGCUGCGAUGCUUCGAUAGAGCAUGCAACUCCAAUUGCCUCUUGUACCACACCGACAACUGCAUCGUCUGCUGCGUCGACGAAAUUUGACAUGCAACGACGCGCAAGUUGAAGAACGGGGAAGCAUUUAUUCGUGACGGUGAAUAAAAGAGACGAGUGGCGGUCUGUAUGUUUUCCUGAAUAUUUUCUUCUCCUUUGCUGUCAAGCUUCCAGACGACUGUGCUUGUUCAUCACAAUGCCGUGGCUCCGCGGGACAGUGCCUCUCAUAUCAAUCAUCGGCAGUUCGAAAUUAUAAUUAACUUUAUGGAGAGGAAUCCACGCUUAGUUAAGUCAUCGGGAGAUCUGGACCCAAAAUUAACCGCU